GCUGUUGUAGCUCAGUGGUAGAGCACUCCCUUGGUAAGGGAGAGGUCGGGGGUUCAAUCCCCCCCAACAGCACCA
rnacentral:tRNA from 1 species